AAUAGAUACCCGGGUAGUCCACGCCGUAAACGAUGGAUACUAGCUGUCGGGGGCGCAAGCCUCGGUGGCUAAGCGAAAGUGAUAAGUAUCCCACCUGGGGAGUACGGGCGCAAGCCUGAAACUCAAAGGAAUUGACGGGGGCCCGCACAAGCGGUGGAGCAUGUGGUUUAAUUCGAUGAUACGCGAGGAACCUUACCAAGGCUUAAAUGGGAAGCAACAGGUCUGGAAACAGGCCCUUCUUCGGACGCUUUUCAAGGUGCUGCAUGGUUGUCGUCAGCUCGUGCCGUGAGGUGUCAGGUUAAGUCCUAUAACGAGCGCAACCCCUGUUGUUAGUUGCCAGCGAGUCAAGUCGGGAACUCUAGCAAGACUGCCGGUGCAAACCGUGAGGAAGGUGGGGAUGACGUCAAAUCAUCACGGCCCUUACGGCCUUGGGCUACACACGUGCUACAAUGGACGGUACAGAGAGCAGCCACUGGGUGACCAGGAGCGAAUCUACAAAACCGUUCUCAGUUCGGAUCGGAGUCUGCAACUCGACU
rnacentral:rRNA from 1 species